UCCUUCCAGUGUCGCAGCUAACGCAUUAAGUUCUCCGCCUGGGGAGUACGGCCGCAAGGUUAAAACUCAAAGGAAUUGACGGGGGCCCGCACAAGCGGUGGAGCAUGUGGUUCAAUUCGAUGCAAAGCGAAAAACCUUACCUACGCUUGACAUGCCAGGAAUCUACACAGAUGCGGGGGUGACUUCUGGAGCCUGGACCCAGGUGCUGUAUUGCUGUCCUCUCCUCAUCUCGUGACAUGUUGGGUUAGGUCCCGUC
rnacentral:rRNA from 1 species